UUUUUUUUUAGUUUUUGCUAUUUUUUGCAGCCAGUCGGAAAUGCAAACGAGACGUUUCGUUCAGCGUUUUUAUUGAGAAUUUGAACCGUUUUGGAAUCAGGGAAGUUCCAAGUCGCUGUGACGAAUCUGCAGUCGCGAAACACAAAACUGCGCAACUUGCCUUACAAUAACAGUCGUAACUCGAGACGGGGAGCAAGAUAACAUGGGAGCAACUUGACAUGUGACGCAGGGUUCCAUCAGCGGCACCAGAAAGUGACAAGUCGCUCAAAGAUAUCGACAAGCGUGUGUGCAGAAAAUCAGGUUGUGGCGGGACACCCAUCUGGCAGGUCUUCGAGGAGGUGCCAAGGAUGCUCAAGCAUCAGGGUCAUUCCAGCCAGCACCUCAGCAGCCGCAACACCAGGCAGCGCUCAAGGUGGGUGGAGGAGUGAGCAAUGGGAGGCGCUUAGAGGUCUGAAGCGGACGUGGAGCUGCGAGUGGUACGCCUCCUCCUACUACAGUGAUGAUGCUGUCAGCUGCCGCCAGUGGCUCCGGGAUGGUGAGGCAAUGUGAAAGAGAAAAAGACACGGACGGAGCGAGACAGAGAGAGAGAGAGAGCGAGCAGGAGUGCAGAGGUAAAGCAGAAAGGAAGGAGGGUGAAAGCGUUUAAGAGCGGGGAGGAAGGAUGGAGAAGAUAUAGGAAAAAGGGAAUGCGCCACCCCACUCUGCCUGUAUCGGUAUCAAUCAAUCAGGCAGUGGCAGAGUUAAUGAGUCACCGAUUCCCAUGACAUUGCAUGUGUAGCACAUACGUAACAGCCGCAUUUGCAGUCACGGUGCACGCAAUGUAUUGUUUUUUCCAUUGCAUGCAAUGUGGACAGGAAAUACACCUGUGACAUUUCAGCAUUAGCAGGUCCUUGCAUAUCUAAAUCACAAGGGGAAUGAUGUAAAGUCGGGUCCAUUACUAUUGGGACAAGAACAAAAUUCUCAUCGUUCUGGCUCUGAGCAUUAUCACGGAGGAAAUGGAAUGAAAUAAUCAAGAUGUGCUUUAACUGUAGACUUUCAGCUUGAAUUCACAUCAAAAACUGGUGAACGAUGGAGGAAUGAAAGCAGUUUGUAUACAUGCCUCUCACUUUUUUUCACCAAUCAUAAAUUAAACAAUACUUAGUUUCAAAUCCUUGCCUUUUACAACCUGCUCUGGAAUGCAUCGACGUCACCAG